rnacentral:lncRNA from 1 species
AAAAACGCAACAAGCUCAGACGCAAAAACACUUCUACUCAUAAGUUGGCCAUUUCAACAAACUGGAGCAGAUGAAAACUCUUCUCACAAGAAGGAAAGAGACGUUUCUCAAAAGGUUGCGGUCUCUCCACCAUUUCAAAACCUUCAUUCACUUGGACCGAAACUUUACCUCCGAUAAGGGCAAUAAACCGAAGGCCACACGAUCAUCCAAAACGCCCCAUUCCCCUCCUUGGCGCGCAUAGAAGCGAGGACGGUGAAGUCCACUCCGAUGCUGUGCGAAACAAAUUCACGUGCGAAAUCUGAGUGAAGACUCAAAAAAAUGCGAGCCAUUUGACGACGGUGACGUUUCGGAUCGAGGCGUUGAUCUCUCACUCUCAUCUCCUUCCCAGUUUUUAGUUCAACAACAACGAUUUUUCCGAUUCAUCAUGUCUACGUAUAAAAGAUGAGCAAAAAGAGAGCAAAGGCCUACCGGAAAUAGAUCUUUGAUGCGGUGGUUCUUCUACGGCUACGACGACGGCUUUACCGGUAAGGCUUCUUCCAUCUUCUUCCUCGUUUCACUUCUUCUUCUUCUCAGUGCAUGUAGUAUUUAGGGAAUGAGGAAUGAAUUAUAGAUCAAGAUAGAAUGAUGUGAGAUUCUCAUAGAUGAACUGUAAAGAAAGAGCUUCAAUCUUUGAGUUUGAGAGCAAAGAGCAUUCAAUUCUGAAUAUGAGAGUGAAGAAUCUUUGAUUCUGGUGCAGAGUUUCGAUCCAAAUGAGAUUGGAGUAUAAGAGAGAGUUGAGAGUGAAGAGUGGUAUGGGAUUUCUGUGAUUCUUUGCUUUGGGAUUUUGAUGAACUGGGUUGAAAUGAAUGAAGAGUGCAGAGCAUUGUGUUCUCGCAAAUGGUGAUUGAAAAAAUCAUCUGGUGAAUGAUGAAUGUGUUUAAAUAGACAGUUGGAUUUAACAGAGAUAAACUUUGUUAAAUCGUGCUUAGUUCAAAUCGGUUGAGGGUUAGAAGUUCUGUUUAAAAAAUUAGGAUUCAUUAUGUCAGUUUGUUAGAGUGGUUAAAAAUGCAAAUUCUGUUAUAAUGAAAUGAAGAUGAAUUUGAGUUAAUUGCAAAUGUGAAUUUCAGUUAGAUUUUGGUUUUUGAUUCUCUGCAUUGCUUCUGUAGUGUAUGGUGGGACUUGAUUUUGUUCUUGUUUGGAAAAUUAUGCAGGUGAAUUAGUGAUUGCCAAUGAUUCUGCAGAAGGGUCUUUGCGUUUCUGCUAUGUUGUUGUUGUACUCAACUUUUUCUCUUUUUAUUAUUUGGACAGGAUUGUGGAUAUUAUAACUGGUUUGGAUAAUUUGGACAUUUGUAAAGGAUAAUUUGGAUAUUGUUUUGGAUUGGUAAUGGAUAAUUGGAUUAGCUAAAUGGGCUUAUGUACUGAUGAAUCAUGAAACAUGUAGUCGAGAAUCAAAUGGAUGAUUUGAAUGAUCAACACUAUGAAACCAUGAUCCUCUAGUGAACUU